rnacentral:rRNA from 1 species
UACAGGGGGUGCAAACGUUGCUCGGAAUCAUUGGGCGUAAAGCGCACGUAGGCGGUUCGUUAUGUCGGAUGUGAAAGCCCUCGGCUUAACUGAGGAAGUGCACCUGAAACUGGCAGGCUUGAGUACGAAAGAGGGUCGCGGAAUUCCCGGUGUAGAGGUGAAAUUCGUAGAUAUCGGGAGGAACACCGGUGGCGAAGGCGGCGACCUGGUUCGAUACUGACACUGAGGUGCGAAAGCGUGGGGAGCAAACAGG